rnacentral:tRNA from 1 species
UACCUUGGUCUUGUAAACCAAAAAUGAAGCUACAGACUUCUUAGAGCA